AACAUUUGGAUAGGAAUGGUUUAGAGGGAUAUGGGCCAAUCGCAGGCAGGUGGGACUAUUGUGGCUCACUAUUUAAUGCAUUUUA